CUGCUUCUUUCUUCUUCCUGGUUCCUUCUUCUCUGUACCUUCCUCUAGCGCAAGCAGAAACAAGCAAGCAAAGCAACAGGCGCAGCAGCUAGCAUGGCCCCUUCCGAUCUUUCUUUCUUCUCCCGCAAGAGCAGCAGAGCAGCGCAGCUCGCCCCUGCGCUUGCUCCCGCGCGUGGCCGCCUGCUCGCCCGUCGCCUGGGCCGCACACCCCUUCUUCCAUGCCUGGCAGCGCCACGUCGCCCACCUGCACCUGCGCCUGGCCGCCCGUGCUCGCCUUGGCCCGGUCCUCCUGCGCAGCUACGCCGCAUGCCUCUGCUCGCCCUGGCCGCGUGCGCCGCUAGCCCCUGCGUGCGCCCAUCCCUUUGCGCCACGCCUGAUCAAGGAAGAGAAGAGGAGGGACCGCAGGAGGAGAUGGAGCCGGAGCCCGCGAGGAGGAAGACACCGCCGUUGAAGCCGAACCGCGAGCAGCUGGUCGACCACGUGCUGAACCGCAAGUUGCCGCCUCGGUCGCCUACAACCUGUUCGACCAAAUGCUCCAACCGAUCUGUCAAGCCCCUAGGUUCUGGAUAUUUAUUAUAAUUACGAAUCUUGGAACCGAAGGAUUUGAAGGAUCUCGAAGAACCAAGCUACGUCAGGAGGAGGAUGUACAACCUGGCACCUAAGUUGAAGCCAAUGGAUCUUGAGCUCAAGCCUGGGCACAUUAUUCAUCUGGUUUUUGCUUCCCUGCCAAAAGAAUUUGAUACUUUUGUUGUUAACUACAACAUGUAGCCAGAAUAGUGGGACAUGAAAAAGAUGAUAGCCAUGUGCGUGGAAGAAGAGGACAGAAUCAGAUCUUCACAUGGUGGUUCUUUGAACUAUGUGAAGGAUAACAAGAAAAAGAAUACACAUGCUAGCUCCUCUUCCAAGCCACGUGGAAAGGCUCCCAUGCAGCAACAGAAUCAGCAAAAGCCCUUCACAGUUGACAAAGAUUAGUGCCUCCACUGCAAGAAACGGGGGCAUUACAAGAAAGAUUGCCCCGAUUUGUUGAAGUCGAUAAUGGCGAAGAAAGGGAUUCUGUUCGACGAGGACUACGCAAAGAAGUGAAAGAUGCGUUGAAGUCGCAAAUGGAGUCCAAGCAGAUGUUGAUGGUUUCACACUUCUGCUUAGAGAUGUUCUUUAUGUUCCUUCAUUACACAGAAACUUGAUUAGUAUUUCACGUUUAGAUAAAGAUGGUUAUGAAUGUAAUUUUGGACAUGGCAAGUGUGCCAUUUGGUUUCAUAAUGCAUGUGUUGGCGUCGCUACCCUUCACAAUGAGCUUUAUUUAUUA